rnacentral:rRNA from 1 species
UACGUAGGGUCCAAGCGUUAAUCGGAAUUACUGGGCGUAAAGCGUGCGCAGGCGGUUGUGUAAGUCAGAUGUGAAAUCCCCGGGCUUAACCUGGGAAUUGCAUUUGAGACUGCACGGCUAGAGUGUGUCAGAGGGGGGUAGAAUUCCACGUGUAGCAGUGAAAUGCGUAGAGAUGUGGAGGAAUACCGAUGGCGAAGGCAGCCCCCUGGGAUAACACUGACGCUCAUGCACGAAAGCGUGGGGAGCAAACAGG